AUUGAACGCUGGCGGAAUGCUUUACACAUGCGAGUCGAACGAUGAACCUUAGCUUGCUAAGGGGAUUAGUGGCGAACGGGUGAGUAAUGUAUCGGAACGUAUCCAAUAAUGGGGGAUAACUAGUCGAAAGAUUAGCUAAUACCGCAUACGUCCUACGGGAGAAAGCUAGGGACCUUCGGGCCUGGCGUUAAUGGAGCGGCGGAUAUCUGAUUAGCUAGUUGGUGGGGUAAAGGCUCACCAAGGCGACGAUCAGUAGCUGGUCUGAGAGGACGACCAGCCACACUGGAACUGAGACACGGUCCAGACUCCUACGGGAGGCAGCAGUGGGGAAUUUUGGACAAUGGGCGAAAGCCUGAUCCAGCCAUUCCGCGUGAGUGAAGAAGGCCUUCGGGUUGUAAAGCUCUUUCGCAAGGGAAGAAAACUUAAGCUCUAACAUAGCUUGAGGUUGACGGUACCUUGAUAAGAAGCACCGGCUAACUACGUGCCAGCCGCCGCCGUAA
rnacentral:rRNA from 1 species